CACGUCCAGGGCAAACCCGCCGCGAGACGGGGACGCAAAGCCAGGGACCUUCCAGCCGGAAGGCCGCCCGGUUGCCGGGG
rnacentral:ncRNA from 1 species